UUCGCAAUGCCCGAAAGGGUGACGAAGCGACGCCGCGUGUGGGAAGAAGGCCUUCGGGUUGUAAACCACUGUCGGGAGUUAAGAAAUGUAUGGAUGCUAAUAGUAUUCUUACUUGACUAAGGCUCCGGAGGAAGCCACGGCUAACUCUGUGCCAGCAGCCGCGGUAAUACAGAGGCGGCAAGCGUUGUUCGGAAUUAUUGGGCGUAAAGAGCACGUAGGCGGCUGUGUAAGUCGGUUGUGAAAGCCUUCCGCUUAACGGAAGAACAGCGACCGAUACUGCAUAGCUAGAGUGCGGGAGGGGAGAGUGGAACUUCUGGUGGAGCGGUGAAAUGCGUAGAUAUCAGAAGGAACGCCGGCGGCGAAAGCGGCUCUCUGGACCGUAACUGACGCUGAGUGUGCGAAAGCUAGGGGAGCAAACGGGAUUAGAUACCCCGGUAGUCCUAGCCGUAAACGAUGGGCACUAAGUAGAGGGGUUUU
rnacentral:rRNA from 1 species